GACGAACGCUGGCGGCACGCUUAACACAUGCAAGUCGAACGAAAAUGUUUCACCGUAGCUUGCUACACCGAGACAUUUUAGUGGCGGACGGGUGAGUAACACGUGAGGAACCUGCCUAUCAGAGAGGGAUACCGUUUGGAAACGAACGUUAAUACCUCAUAACGUAACGAGAUCGCAUGAUAAUGUUACCAGAGAUUUAUCGCUGAUAGAUGGCCUCGCGUCUGAUUAGAUAGUUGGUGAGGUAACGGCUCACCAAGUCGACGAUCAGUAGCCGGACUGAGAGGUUGAACGGCCACAUUGGGACUGAGACACGGCCCAGACUCCUACGGGAGGCAGCAGUGGGGAAUAUUGCGCAAUGGAGGAAACUCUGGAUGCAGCGAUGCCGCGUGAGGGAAGAAAGGUUUUCGGAUUGUAAACUCUGUCCUUGGUGACGAAGGAAGUGACGGUAGCCAAGGAGGAAGCCCCGGNUAACUACGUGCCAGCAGCC
rnacentral:rRNA from 1 species